AUAGCGUAUAUUAAAGUUGUUGCAGUUAAAAAGCUCGUAGUUGAACUUCAGGCCUGGUUGGGCGGUCUGCCUCACGGUAUGUACUGUCCGACUGGGUCUUACCUCUUGGUGAGCCGGCAUGCCCUUCACUGGGUGUGUCGGGGAACCAGGACUUUUACUUUGAGAAAAUUAGAGUGUUCAAAGCAGGCCUAUGCCCGAAUACAUUAGCAUGGAAUAAUAAAAUAGGACGUGCGGUUCUAUUUUGUUGGUUUCUAGAGUCGCCGUAAUGAUUAAUAGGGAUAGUUGGGGGCAUUAGUAUUCAAUUGUCAGAGGUGAAAUUCUUGGAUUUAUUGAAGACUAACUACUG
rnacentral:rRNA from 1 species